GUUGGUGAGGUAACGGCUCACCAAGGCAACGAUGCGUAGCCGACCUGAGAGGGUGAUCGGCCACACUGGGACUUGAGACACGGCCCAGACUCCUACGGGAGGCAGCAGUAGGGAAUCUUCCGCAAUGGACGAAAGUCUGACGGAGCAACGCCGCGUGAGUGAUGAAGGCUUUCUGGUCGUAAAACUCUGUUGUUAGGGAAGAACAAGUGCUAGUUGAAUAAGCUGGCACCUUGACGGUACCUAACCAGAAAGCCACGGCUAACUACGUGCCAGCAGCCGCGGUAAUACGUAGGUGGCAAGCGUUAUCCGGAAUUAUUGGGCGUAAAGCGCGCGCAGGUGGUUUCUUAAGUCUGAUGUGAAAGCCCACGGCUCAACCGUGGAGGGUCAUUGGAAACUGGGAGACUUGAGUGCAGAAGAGGAAAGUGGAAUUCCAUGUGUAGCGGUGAAAUGCGUAGAGAUAUGGAGGAACACCAGUGGCGAAGGCGACUUUCUGGUCUGUAACUGACACUGAGGCGCGAAAGCGUGGGGAGCAAACAGGAUUAGAUACCCUGGUAGUCCACGCCGUAAACGAUGAGUGCUAAGUGUUAGAGCGUUUCCCCCCUUUAGUGCUGAAGUUAACGCAUUAAGCACUCCGCCUGGGGAGUACGGCCGCAAGGCUGAAACUCAAAGGAAUUGACGGGGGCCCGCACAAGCGGUGGCGCAUGUGGUUUAAUUCGAAGCAACGCGAAGCACCUUACCACGUCUUGACAUCCUCUGAAAACCCUAGAGAUAGGGCUUCUCUUUGGGGAGCAGAGUGACAGGUGGUGCAUGGUUGUUGUCAGCUCGUGUCGUGAGAUGUUGGGUUAUGUCCUGCAACGAGCGCAACCCUUGAUUUUAGUUGCCAUCAUUAAGUUGGGCACUCUAAGGUGACUGCCGGUGACAAACCGGAGGAAGGUGGGGAUGACGUCAAAUCAUCAUGCCCCUUAUGACCUGGGCUACACACGUGCUACAAUGGACGGUAC
rnacentral:rRNA from 1 species